GGUGGCCGCGUCGCGCUGGUGCAGGCCAUCAGUCGCGCCGAGGAAAGUCCGGGCUCCAUUGCGGCAGGGCGCUGGACGCGUAUCCAGGGGGGGAAACCCCACGGAGAGCGCCACAGAGACAGACCGCCGUCCCUCGGCCCCAGCGGUCGGCCGGGCGGUAAGGGUGAAACGGUGCGGUAAGAGCGCACCAGCGGCUCGGGCGACCGGGCCGGCUGGGCAAGCCCCGCCCGGAGCAAGACCAAGUAAGGGGGCCAGGGAGCGCCGCACUCCGUCCCCGGGUAGGUCGCUAGAGGCGGCGGGCAACCGUCGUCCCAGAUGGAUGGCCACC
rnacentral:RNase_P_RNA from 1 species